rnacentral:rRNA from 1 species
GGAUUAGAUACCCGGGUAGUCCACGCCGUAAACGAUGAAUGCCAGCUGUCGGGAGGUUUACCUCUCGGUGGCGCAGCUAACGCUUUAAGCAUUCCGCCUGGGGAGUACGGUCGCAAGAUUAAAACUCAAAGAAAUUGACGGGGGCCCGCACAAGCGGUGGAGCAUGUGGUUUAAUUCGACGCAACGCGCAGAACCUUACCAGCCCUUGACAUGUCCGGCUAUCCAGAGAGAUCUGGAGUUCCUUCGGGACCGGAACACAGGUGCUGCAUGGCUGUCGUCAGCUCGUGUCGUGAGAUGUUGGGUUAAGUCCCGCAACGAGCGCAACCCUCGCCCUUAGUUGCCAUCAUUUAGUUGGGCACUCUAAGGGGACUGCCGGUGAUAAGCCGGAGGAAGG